UACGUGUGGAGCAAGCGUUAUCCGGAUUUACUGGGUGUAAAGGGAGCGCAGGCGGCUUUGCAAGUCUGAUGUGAAAGGCCGGGGCUCAACCCCGGGACUGCAUUGGAAACUGUAAAGCUAGAGUGCCGGAGAGGUAAGCGGAAUUCCUAGUGUAGCGGUGAAAUGCGUAGAUAUUAGGAGGAACACCAGUGGCGAAGGCGGCUUACUGGACGGCAACUGACGCUGAGGCUCGAAAGCGUGGGGAGCAAACAGG
rnacentral:rRNA from 1 species